GAUGAACGCUGGCGGCGUGCCUAAUACAUGCAAGUCGAGCGAACAGACGAGGAGCUUGCUCCUCUGACGUUAGCGGCGGACGGGUGAGUAACACGUGGAUAACCUACCUAUAAGACUGGGAUAACUUCGGGAAACCGGAGCUAAUCCCGGAUAAUAUAUUGAACCGCAUGGUUCAAUAGUGAAAGACGGUUUUGCUGUCACUUAUAGAUGGAUCCGCGCCGCAUUAGCUAGUUGGUAAGGUAACGGCUUACCAAGGCAACGAUGCGUAGCCGACCUGAGAGGGUGAUCGGCCACACUGGAACUGAGACACGGUCCAGACUCCUACGGGAGGCAGCAGUAGGGAAUCUUCCGCAAUGGGCGAAAGCUUGACGGAGCAACGCCGCGUGAGUGAUGAAGGUCUUCGGAUCGUAAAACUCUGUUAUUAGGGAAGAACAAAUGUGUAAGUAACUAUGCACGUCUUGACGGUACCUAAUCAGAAAGCCACGGCCAACUACGUG
rnacentral:rRNA from 1 species